UGGCUGUCCCUGCGGAGUCGGAGCCUGCGACAUGGGGGAGGGGACCCAUGGGUUCACCGUGUGUGUGUGUGUGCGCGUGUGUGCGUACCAGCUUUCCUUGGAGCUGUAGUAGAGGAUUAGGUUAGACUGAACCCCUUAAUCUACAAGCCACUGGGGGAACAGGGAAGUCUCCAGUCUACCUCCCUUCUUUACUGAUGAGCAAAGUGACUUCUUUAAGGUCAGUUCCCAGAGUGGCUCUUUCCUUGGGUAUUGAAUUUGGAUAGGUGCCAUUGCUUUGGUGGUGUUGGGAGAAGGCGGCAAAAGGGGAAGCCCCCUUUGAAAUGAGACAAGAGGCAUUCCUCUGAUAAGGUGGUACUCUUAAGAUCAUAUUUCUAGUUUGCAUACAACCCUGCGUGCAUUUGGAAUAUAUAUGUGUAUUAGUAUUUUAAAAAACCUUUGAACAAGUAUCAGCUGCUCCCCCUAAAACAAAACUCAAAUGUAUAUUAAAAAAACCUGAGUGAAAUGAUAGGCACAAUUUCUUACCAUUUGUAUUCUCCUAGGACUUCUAAAAUAGUGAGUGCCUCGCUAGCGCGUCUAGUGUGAGUUCAUAUUCAUUAACUACCUGACAGAUGGUGGGAGGGAGGCUUUUUCGAGGGAGGGAUGGUGAGUCUGGAAGCUUAAGAGUUAGGAUGUAUCAUCCACUCCGUGGAGGAAGGCACACUGGGCAGAAACAAAGAAAAAGCAUCUCAGGAAUUAAAAUUUAUAUUUUGGGGAAAAUAGAAUUUCAUUCUUUAAAACAUUCAUAUAUAACUUAGCUGUGAAUAUUAAUAAAGUGCUGAAGCCUAUAUUUAGCUUAGCACAGUGCCUGGCACCUGGUACGUAAUAAAUAUUUAUUGAAUGAAUGGUGCGUGAAUGUCUCUGCUGGUUUGUUCCCUUUUCUUGCUUCUCUGCCAAGAGAGAAAUUAAUAAACUCAAGUGGAUUUGUGGCUGGCAUGUGAUCCUCUCAGCAACCCAGUGAGUCAUGUAGCAUGACCCUCAUCUCACAAAUGAAGAAAAAGAAGCUCUAAGAGGUGCCUUUUGCUCAAGGUCACAGAGCUGACUUUCUUUGUAAUGGGGGAAGAUGCUCUAAGAACCCAGGUGCUAUGGUGAAAUCCUAAAGGCCAAUGUGAUGGUCUUGGAGGUACUUACACUUUCAAUAACCUGCAUAUGGAUUUCAACGCUAUUUAAUUAAGCCUUAAACCUAUAAAAAUGCACAUUUAAUACUCAAGUAAGCCCCUGACGUGUUCCCUCUGAAGAUAAACAGGUAGGAGGUUUCUGCAGUCAACCUAAAGCACACCUGAUUCUGGAGCAUGGGAGGGAAAUUAUGUCUGCUGUGGUCUGCAAAGGAGGCUGAGGUCUGAGAAAACAUCCAGGGUGUCCCACUAGGUCCCAUGCGUGCUCAUGGACUGGCCCCAAGUCCUCGUAAUAUCCAAGAGAUGUCAGUGCCCCUUCAGAGCCUCCAGAAGCUGCUCUGGCUGUGAACCUGUUCUCUUCCUCACUCCUCUUGCCUCAGUUCUCCUGAAAAGCAAGCAUGUUGCUGAGGGGCAGCCUAAUUGAGGUGGACUCAGAUGAAGAUCUACCUGGAAAGAGCCUAGAACUGAGAAUCUGGGGACCUGCCGUUUAGUCCUGGUGCUUUCCUAAACUCACCAUGCAACCUUGAACAAGUACUUUACUCUCUAGGCUUCUGUUUCAUCAUCUGUGAAACAAGGGAGCUAUGUCUUUGGGUCUCAGGUUCUGUGGAGCAAGGCCAAGGACAAGCAGUGGGGUGGGAAAUAGCCCCCUCACCUUUAGUGAAAGGCAUAUUCCAGCCGUUCUUUAAGAAUGGUGUCGGACAAGCUAAUGAUGCCUGAUUCUGAGACUGUGCAACCUGGAAUUGGCAGUCAGGAGGUCUACACCCGGGAGAUACUGGGAGAGCAGCGGAGACGUUAACUUGGAGAUAGCAAAGCUCUGAGCUUCCUUCAGAGGGGAGUGGAGAGGGGUCCUUCCGCAGAGGAGCCACUGUUCCUGGAGCCUGUCAGAAUAGUUUAUUUAUAUAAAAUCAAACUCUGGUCUUUGGUCUUAGUGGUAAGGAACUUCCUCCCACAAAACAAGACAAAACAAAACAGAACAAAAACAAAACAAGGAUGUGGUGGUCUCCAUUUGAAGAAAUCAAGGUGAACUGGAGAAGUUUGAAGACCCUAGAGGGGAAAUAGGGGAGGUUGAGGAGUUAUCAAUAACUUAUUAACGUUAUUUAUAAGUUACGUUAUCAAUAAGGUAAAACGUGUCCAAUUAGAACAACACAAGUGACCAGACAGAAGGGGAUUUUCUUUGUUUAAUUGAAAAGAUAGUUCAGGCCUAUAGGAAAUCAUUGAAACGGUCCAAAAAAUUAUCACUGAAAAAUACAUUCCCCUUCUAGUCUUGCCCUUUGGUCGCCAUUUGCAGAGACAACCAUCUUGGACAAUUUGUGUAUCCUUCCAGAAGCAUUAGGCCUCAUCUGCACUUUGCUUUUUUAUGCAAUGAUAUAUCUUGGAGAUUGUUCUAUAACAGCACCUAUAUUCAUUAAUCAUUUUGACAAACUUUUGAGUGCCUAUUAAGGGCCAGGCACUGAAAAUACAGCAGUGCAAAAGCCAGGCAAGAUCUCGGCCCUCCUUAGCAUUCUAGUGACAAUACCAGAAGAUAAACAAGGAAAUGAUGAUUAUGUAAUGUAGGGCCAGGUAGUUCUGAGUGCCGUGAAGAAAACAUAAACACAGAAUGAGGAGAGAAGUGAUGAGGCUCUUUCAGAUGAGAUGGCCAAGGAAGGGCAGCCUGGGGAGGUGACAUAAGAGAGGAGUAACUCACGCUGAGGGAGGGGGCAUGGUCUUUCCAGGUCCAGGGAACACCACGGACAAAGGCUCCAGGGUGGGGUGUGCCUGGCAUGCUAGAGGAACAGGAAGGAGGUCAGUGUGGCUGGGGCAGAAUGAGGCUGCCAUGUGGUCAGAGAGGAGGUCACAGAGGCAGGCAGGGGACACAGCCCAUGAGGCCCUGAGGCUGUGGUGAGGAGUUUGGUUUUUAUUCUAAGUGACAUAUGGAGCCGUUGGAUGGUUUGGGUAGGGGCAUACCAGCUGAUAAAUGUUUUAUAAAGAUCCUUCCUGCAGCUGUGUGGUGAAGAGACUGUCAAGGUGCAAGAGUGAAAUUGAGGGAGACCAGGUGGCUGCUGCCAUCUCUGCAAGCAGGUGACAGUGGCUUGGUCUAACAGCAGAUUUGUAUUUUGAGAGUAGAGCCUACAGGAUGUGGGAUAUGAGUGAGAGGAAUGGAAGCGAUUCCAUGAUUUUUGACCUGAGUGACUGGGUGAAUGUACUGCAUUACUGAAAUGGGGAGCCAUUUAUGGAAAUGAGGAAGAAGGGGCUAGUGUGGUGAUUGCCACAUUCUGGCUCAGGUGUGUUAAACUCAGCAUGCCUGUUUCAUGUCCCAAGGCCAAUAUUCAGAAGGCAAUGGGAUCUAUGAGUCUCAAAGGCAUCACUUAGGAUAGGGCUGGAGAUACAAAUUUGGGUGUCAUCAGAUGGUAUUUUAAACUCUGGCCUGGAUGAGCAUCAGAGAUUGAAUGCAGAGAGAGAAUGUAGCGAGAAGGCCAGGACUGAUCCCAGGGUCCCUCUAACAUUUAGAGGUUGGGAAGAGGAGGAAGGGCCAGCGAAGGAGACGGAGACAGGAGAGCCAGGGAGGGGGGAGGAAAUAUAAGAAUGUGGUAUCCUGGAAGCCCAGUGUAGAAGGUGCUGGAUAAACCCCCCCAAUUCUUUUUCACAUCUGCACUGCAUUCUCUUGUACGGCUGUGCCAUAGAUUAUUUAACGAGUCCUCUCUCCAAGGCAUUUGGAUUGCUAGCAGUCUUUUGCUGGUAAACAAGGCCACAGUGAAUGUGGUUGACUUUAUCAGGAGUUCUGAGUGAGGCAAUCACAGGGAACUGUUUAAAGGACUCUGUUUUCCCUUGAAGCAGCAUGAGUAGCACUGGCUUGCUGAGAGCCCUAUUUACACACACAUGAAGGAAUAUUGAGGGAGCCAGAGGUUAGGAGCAGGAAAGCCCUUCUGAAACCACUAGCCCCAGCCACUGCUUCUAUCGGUGAGAAAAUGAACUUGUCCAGAGUCAUCCGGCACCUUGGACACAGCCAGUGUUGGAACACAAUCUCUUGACUCUCAGCCCACUCUUGGCAGGACUCCAUAUUGCAUGCCAAGGCAUUUCCAGUGAUCACCUUCCCCAAAUUUGCUGAGCUGCGGGAUGUGGAUAGAUCACGAUCGAAGGCAGUGAAGUGUAGAUGAAUGAGCAGAGAUUUGGGGCCAAAUAGACCUGGAGUGAAUCCUGUCUCCAGCACUUAACUAGGUGCGCAUCAACGUACUUGACUAUGAUCCUUGUUGUUUGUAGAGUGGCAAUAAUUGCACCUAUAACAGACAAUGGGAUGCUAUAAAACCCCUGGCCCAGCCCUGCAUGUAGCAGACGGUAUGUGGGAACUCCUUCUCCCCUAUUCGAGUUCUUCUCUUCCUUCCAAUGCAGUUGUUACAAGAGAGAAAUUGAAAACUUCCUCAUAAACCUUGAAGGAAGCAGAGACCUCAGAAAACCAACCAAAGACAGUCCUCUGUGUGUAUGUGUGUACUUCAAAGCUUUGUCUUCUUCUGAAAAGAAUGGCCUAAGACAAAUGUCUCUAAGCAAACUAGAAUGUAUUAGAACUGUUACUCUCAGAAGAUGUGUGGUCAUAAGAGUAAGAGAGAUUAAGGAAAACAGAAAUCCUCAUUCUAAAUAAAAACCCCUAUUUUUCUGAAUAUAAAAGCUUAGUCUCUGAUUAUCAUGCUUUUUGCAAAAAUAUGGGAAAUAUAGAAAAGGAUAAAGAAGAAAAUAAAAAUAAUACACAAUUCCAUAACCACUAUUAACAGUUUGGUAUAUUUCCAGUUGUUUUCUUAUGUAGAUACAGAUAUGUGCCACUCAGAUCACCCUUCAAGAGAGACCUUGCCUCCAGCUGUUAGCUCCUUUGGGACUGGCCUCAGUAUUGGAGCCAAUAUCCCACUGCUCCAGGGGUGGCCCCAGUCAGUGACUGAGCAAGUUUGUGCCAUGAUAGCCUGGCCAUUUCUCAGGCAAUUUCUGCUCAGACUGUUGUUUGCUUUGUAUUUGGCUUUGUGA